UAUGCUCAACACCAGUUCUCCUCAAUGGGAUUUUGAUGGAAAGGGCUCCAGCCUUCAAGGCUGCUUGUUUCGAUGGCUUCGUACUAAUUGGGCCGGAGACGGUUUCCUGCCUAAGUAAAAAUACGACAACUCCUCUACCAAACUGCACUGCCUAUUCUGGGACAUGUGAUCGCUCAACUCUGGAGAAUGGAUACUCUCAACCCAAUGAUAACUCUAUGGUUCGCAGACUUUCUUGCAAAUCCGGAUAUCGACUUUACACCUCGCCGCAUUACACUUGUGUUUCAUCAUCAAUUUCAAAGCGAAUCACGACCUGUGAAAAAAUUGUUUGCAACUCUUCCUCGACAAUUAUUAACAAUGGAUUUCUUCAGCCACCUGACGGCAUCGCCAAUGAACGAGCGACCGUGACAUGCAGUACUGGAUAUUCAUUAGCCGGUUCUUCAAAUGCUACGUGUCGGGCGGAUGGCGUGUGGAACACGAAGGCAACGUGCAACGGUGAUCCGUGUCACGAACCAAUUAUACCUAAUAGCAAUGUGUCCGGCUUGAACGCGUCAACCGGUGAAGUGUUUUAUGUCGGUUGCAAGGAAGGAUUCGUACGACAGGGCAGCCCCACAAUAUCUUGUGUGUCACCUUCAAAUUGGAAAUCUGUUCCACACUGCCAACCUGUGCGGUGCAAAGGUACGCCAACAGUGCAGAGUGGCUCAGUUUUGGUUGGGCACAUCACGCCAACAUUUGGAACCAUGGCAAUUAUCAUCUGUAACUCGACGUAUGAACUCCAUGGUAACAGAACCAUCACCUGUAGUGCGAAUGGCACCUGGACCGAUAAUGGUCAGACUU